GUGAAGUAUGUGGUGGGGAUGAUGGAAGGAGUCAGAGUGGUCUCCUUGUGGUCCCACAUUUCUAGGGCUUGCUCAGCAUGCUGUCAAGUGCUGUGACUUCAACAGAAUGAAAAUACAAGGUGGUGAUCCUUCUGCCAGGGUGACUAUACUUUAGAUGACAAAGCUAGCAAGGACAUGGCAUUGUAUCAACCCUUGUUGCCUCCAGUGAGCAUGACAGUCCUAUAUCAGCUACAGCAGGAAGAAGACUGUAGCCCACCAUUUCACCAGGAGACAACAUGCACUGUGAAUGCCAGGACAGUCUGAAUAGUGUCCUUGGAAGAUUAGAGCUCAAGGCUGUAGUCUAGCAUCACCGGGGUAUGUAUUGUUAGAGGUAUAUCAUCAGAUGGAUGAUGAGACUGCUGGAUCCCCAUACAGUAGGCCUCUGGGAUUGCCUGCAGUGUUGAUGGCUCCUGAAUCCCACCUAAGAGAAAAGCUCCCUGACUUCACUGUCUUCAUGUGAACUAUAGAUCAGCAAGCACACACUGCAGUGAGUAUCUAUUAUAGGCACUCCUGGAGCACUGACAAGUGUGUAUCUCCUGGCCAGUACAGCCUUCAUCAUGAUACAUGACUGGACUUACCCAAGACAGGGACAUCUACAAAUGAUUUUUAGCACACAGGACUGCUUCAGGACCACACUCCAUUGCUGUGAAUGGCAAUGCUUCACCGUCUCAGAAAAGCUUUUUUAAGCUUAUUGGCCCAUUAGCCAGCAUUACGGUUCCUAACACAAACACACCAUGUAAAGCCCCAGAGGAUGAGUCCAAGUUAAUGGAAGAGCUGACCCUGCUUGCCCUGUGCUCAACCUCUGGGCUGACGGGAUGCACUUUACCUUUGGUGUGGAGAUCACAGCUCAGUGAGCAUGGUGCUGAGCUGGAGACAGCUCACACUGAGUGUUGUUCCUGUGAGCUCACCUACAAGACCUUCCUUCCUUUCUGGCAAAAACUGAGCUCUGUGUGUACUGAAAAAAAUAGGCAAGACCCAACCCAGUUGAUUAUGUUUCAUCAUUGGCUUGCAUUGUCGUUACCCAGCUACAUUCCAUCAAAGGUCUGGCAAAAGAAAAAAAGUCAAUCACCCAGCUACAUUCCAUCAAAGGUCUGGCAAAAGAAAAAAAGUCAAUCAAAUGAAAGCUGUGGCAUACAUGAACCCCAAACCUCCUAGGUUCACUAGUUCAUGAGAACAUGAAAGUAUCUCAUAAUGAAGAUGGACAUGUCCCUUCUCCUUCAUGUCCUACUGCCUCUGGGGAAGAAGAGAGGACAGGAUGCCUCUCAUAGGGGUGUGGGACUGAGGAGGUGAUGGGCCCUGCCUCUGCUCAGGGACAGCCUUUAUACAUUCCCAACUCUCCUUUGGUCCUUUCCUGGAGGCUUUUCAGGACAGGUUAGUCUGUUUAAACCAUCUUACAGCAACCUUUACAGAAACUCUUCCCUCUUCCUGGAUGUCACUCUGUUCUUACAUGUCCGUCCACUGACUUGUGACAUAAAACAUACGGGGUUUGUACAUGCAUGGAUCAUCAGAAUCUGUCUCCAUCCCUCAGUCCUCUAGAUGUGACCAAAUCUCAAUUAGGUCAUUCAGAGAAGCAUGUCCAUACUGAAUAUUUGUUAAUCCUCCAAAUAAACAGCAUAGUGUUUCCAUGCUUCUCUGUCUGUAUCUCCCUGGUCCUAA